CCCUUAGAUGUUCUGGGCCGCACGCGCGCUACACUGAUGCAUUCAACGAGUCUAAAACCUGCUCUGAUAGGGGUGGGUAAUCUUUUGAAUGUGCAUCGUGAUUGGGAUAGAUGAUUGCAAUUUUUCAUCUUCAACGAGGAAUGCCUAGUAAACGCAAGUCAUCAGCUUGCAUUGAUUACGUCCCUGCUCUUUGUACACACCGCCCGUCGCUCCUACCGAUUGAAUGAUCCGAUGAAUAUCAUGGAUUGAGGAUGCAAGCAGGUUCGCCUGUCUUCAUCUUCGAGAAGUGAAGUAAAUCUUAUCAUUUAGAGGAAGGAGAAGUCGUAACA
rnacentral:rRNA from 1 species